rnacentral:pre_miRNA from 1 species
UACAUACUCCCUCCGUUCGGAAUUACUUGUCGCGAAAAUGGAUGUAUCUAGAUGUAUUUUAGUUCUAGUUACAUCCAUUUUCGAGACAAGUAAUUCGGAACGGAGGGAGUAGAUG